CCAACAACCUCCAACCUGUCACAGCAUUUGAUAUGUAUAGAGUGUAUUUCCAGCAUCUGCAAUAUUUUAUUUUUGGACACAAAUAUGGAAGAAUUUGUGAGCGGCUUUGAGCAAGUCUCAUUUGUGUGAUAACAGGCCCUUCCGGCCUAACGAGUCCACGCCGCCCAUUUUUUAAACCCAAAUUGACCUACCCGUACGUCUUUUAGAAUGUGGGAGGAAACCGGAACACCUGGAGGAAACCCACGCAGACAUGGGAGAACGUACAAACUCCUUACAGACAGCGACGGGACUCGAACACCAAUUGCUGGCGCUGUAAUAGUGUCGUGCUAAC